UACGUAGGGGGCGAGCGUUGUCCGGAUUUAUUGGGCGUAAAGAGCUCGUAGGCGGCUUGGCAAGUCGGGUGUGAAACCUCCAGGCUCAACCUGGAGACGCCACUCGAUACUGCUAUGGCUAGAGUCCGGUAGGGGACCACGGAAUUCCUGGUGUAGCGGUGAAAUGCGCAGAUAUCAGGAGGAACACCGGUGGCGAAGGCGGGUCUCUGGGCAGUAACUGACGCUGAGGAGCGAAAGCGUGGGGAGCGAACAGG
rnacentral:rRNA from 1 species